UACAGAGGUCUCAAGCGUUGUUCGGAUUCAUUGGGCGUAAAGGGUGCGUAGGCGGCGCGGUAAGUCGGGUGUGAAAUCUUGGAGCUUAACUCCGAAACUGCAUUCGAUACUGCCGUGCUUGAGGACUGGAGAGGAGACUGGAAUUUACGGUGUAGCGGUGAAAUGCGUAGAUAUCGUAAGGAAGACCAGUGGCGAAGGCGGGUCUCUGGGCAGUUCCUGACGCUGAGACGCGAAAGCGUGGGGAGCAAACAGG
rnacentral:rRNA from 1 species